rnacentral:rRNA from 1 species
UACGGAGGAUCCAAGCGUUAUCCGGAUUUAUUGGGUUUAAAGGGUGCGUAGGCGGCUUUUAAGUCAGGGGUGAAAGACGGUAGCUCAACUAUCGCGAGCGCCUUGAUACUGAAGAGCUUGAAUGGACUAGAGGUAGGCGGAAUGUGACAAGUAGCGGUGAAAUGCAUAGAUAUGACCCGGAACACCGAUUGCGAAGGCAGCCCACUAAGCAACGAUUGACGCUGAGGCACGAAAGCGUGGGGAUCAAACAGG